rnacentral:rRNA from 1 species
CUUCGGAAUUCAGACACAGGUGCUGCAUGGCGUCGUCAGCUGUGUCGUGAGAUGUUGGGUUAGUCCGCAACGAGCGCAACCCUUGUCCUUAGUUGCCAGCCUUAAGUUGGGCACUCUAAGGAGACUGCCGGUGACAAACCGGAGGAAGGUGGGACGACGUCAAGUCAUCAUGGCCCUUACGUGUAGGGCUACACACGUGCUACAAUGGCAUUUACAGAGGGAAGCGAGACAGUGAUGUGGAGCGGACCCCUUAAAGAAUGUCGUAGUCCGGAUUGGAGUCUGCAACUCGACUCCAUGAAGUCGGAAUCGCUAGUAAUCGCAGGUCAGAAUACUGCGGUGAAUACGUUCCCGGGCCUUGUACACACCGCCCGUCACACCAUGGGAGUGGGAUGCAAAAGAAGUAGUUAGUCUAACCUUCGGGAGGACGAUUACCACUUUGUGUUUCAUGACUGGGGUGAAGUCGUAACAAGGUAACC